rnacentral:rRNA from 1 species
GACGAACGCUGGCGGCGUGCUUAACACAUGCAAGUCGAACGGAAAGGCCCUGCUUUUGUGGGGUGCUCGAGUGGCGAACGGGUGAGUAACACGUGAGCAACCUGCCCUUGUUUUUGGGAUAACUUCAGGAAACUGGGGUUAAUACCGGAUAGGAUCCCCUGUUGCAUGGUGGGGGGUGGAACGUUUGGGCGGGUGGGGAUGGACGCGCGGCUUAUCAGCUUGUUGGUGGGGUAGUGGCUUACCCAGGCUUUGACGGGUAGCCGGCCUGUGAGGGUGACCGGCCACAUUGGGACUGAGAGACGGCGCAGACUCCUACAGGAGGCAGCAGUGGGGAGUAUUGCACAAUGGGCGGAAGCCGGAUGCAGAAACGCCGCGGGUGGAAAGACGGCCUUCGGGUUGUAAACCGCAUUCGCCUGUGACGAAGCGGGAGUGACGGUAAUGGAUAAAGAAGCACCGGCUAACUACGUG